UACGAAGGGAGCUAGCGUUGUUCGGAAUCACUAGGCGUAAAGCGCAGGUAGGCGGUUUGAUAAGUCUGUUGUGAAAGCUCCCGGCUCAACUGGGAGAGGCCAACGGAAACUGUCAGGCUAGAGUGUGGUAGAGGAAGAUGGAAUUCCCGGUGUAGCGGUGAAAUGCGUAGAUAUCGGGAGGAAUACCUAUGGCGAAAGCAGUCUCUGGACCAUCACUGACGCUGAUCUGCGAAAGCUAGGGGAGCAAACAGG
rnacentral:rRNA from 1 species